AUUAAUACCGCAUACGCCCGGGAGGGGAAAGCGGGGGAUCUUCGGACCUCGCGCUCAAGGAGCGGCCGAUGGCGGAUUAGCUAGUUGGUGGGGUAAAGGCCCACCAAGGCAACGAUCCGUAGCUGGUCUGAGAGGACGACCAGCCACACUGGGACUGAGACACGGCCCAGACUCCUACGGGAGGCAGCAGUGGGGAAUUUUGGACAAUGGGGGCAACCCUGAUCCAGCAAUGCCGCGUGUGUGAAGAAGGCCUUCGGGUUGUAAAGCACUUUUGUCCGGAAAGAAAACUUCGUCCCUAAUAUGGAUGGAGGAUGACGGUACCGGAAGAAUAAGCACCGGCUAACUACGUGCCAGCAGCCGCGGUAAUACGUAGGGUGCGAGCGUUAAUCGGGAAUUACUGGGCGUAAAGCGUGCGCAGGCGGUGAUGUAAGACCGAUGUGAAAUCCCCGGGCUUAACCUGGGAACUGCAUUGGUGACUGCAUUGCUGGAGUAUGGCAGAGGGGGGUGGAAUUCCACGUGUAGCAGUGAAAUGCGUAGAGAUGUGGAGGAACACCGAUGGCNAANGCAGCCCCCUGGGCCAAUACUGACGCUCAUGCACGAAAGCGUGGGGA
rnacentral:rRNA from 1 species